rnacentral:misc_RNA from 1 species
GAAAUGCGAUAAGUAGUGUGAAUUGCAGAAUUCAGUGAAUCAUCGAAACUUUGAACGCACAUUGCGCCCCCUGGCAUUCCGGGGGGCAUGCCUGUUCGAGCGUCAUUACACCACUCAAGCCUGGCUUGGUAUUGAGCGCCGCGGCCUGCCCGCGCGCUCCAAUGUCUCCGGCUGAGCCGUCCGUCUCUAAGCGUUGUGAAUAGCGAUCGCUUGCGAGGCCCGGGCGGUUCGACGCCGUUAAACCCCCCAUUUUCUAUGGUUGACCUCGGAUCAGGUAGGGAUACCCGCUGAACUUAAGC